rfam:Triticum aestivum genome assembly, contig: Triticum_aestivum_CS42_TGACv1_scaffold_295577_4AL
UUAGUACUCCCUCCGUCCGAAAAUACUUGUCACGAAAACGGGUAAAAAUGAAUGUAUCUAAAACUAAAAUACGACUAGAUACAUUCAUUUUUUCGACAAGUAUUUCCGAACAGAGGGAGUAUCUU